UACGUAGGGGGCUAGCGUUGCUCGGAAUCACUGGGCGUAAAGCGCACGUAGGCGGCUCUUUAAGUCAGGGGUGAAAUCCUGGAGCUCAACUCCAGAACUGCCUUUGAUACUGAGGAGCUCGAGUCCGGGAGAGGUGAGUGGAACUGCGAGUGUAGAGGUGAAAUUCGUAGAUAUUCGCAAGAACACCAGUGGCGAAGGCGGCUCACUGGCCCGGUACUGACGCUGAGGUGCGAAAGCGUGGGGAGCAAACAGG
rnacentral:rRNA from 1 species